rnacentral:lncRNA from 1 species
CACCAAAGCAGGAGGUAAACAUGUGGCUCCCUGCUCAGUGGCAGCUGAAUUGCGUUAGGAAGCAGUUGCUUGCUGACCAAAUCUUAAAGGAACAAGAAGAGGAGCUGAUAAAAGACAAAGAGAAGAUAACGGAGAAAACGCUCAAGUUGGAGGAAAUUUCCCUCUCUCUGCAAAAACAAUGCAAGAGUGAUGAGGACGAAAGCCAGAAAAAUUGUGAGAAGGAGCAGUUCCAGUUGGAGCACAUUAAGCAAAUGAAGCUGGAGAAGGAAUACAGUCAGAUACAGGGAGAUUGCCAUAUAAUUAAAAAUGCGGAGCAGCAGCAGUCUGAACAAAGACUGAUGGCGUUAGCCUUAGAAAUUGGAGGAAAUGAGAACACGCAGAAUCAAGAAACGUAUCAGCUGGACCAGUGGGAGCUGGAGGAAUCGGAAAAAACUAAGCAGCAGUACUGUUUUGAACAAGAGAAAUAUAAAGCCGAACAGGAACUGGAAGUUAGGAAAGAGGAGCUGAUGCAGGGUCAUCAAAAGCUGAUUCAAUUUUCUCAGUCACUGCAAGCAGACAAGGAGAAUCUGAAAAAUAAGGGGCAGCAACAACAGGAAAUGGAGCACAUGCUUCAGCAAGAGAUUAAUAAAGUGAAUCCAGGACUGAAAGUAAUUGACACCGUAGUGCAACAAAAGCUAUCCCAUUCGUUUGUGCUGAAGAAAGUAAGUGAGGCGAUCACAGCUUCCACUAAGCAACUGGAAAAUGAGAAGCAGUUCAUUCAGAAGAACAAAGCAAAACUGAAGCAUGCAAUGGCAGAUAUCUACACCUCACUGGAAAACCAUCAGAGAUAUGAGCAAUUACUUCAGGAAAAGAUAGAUGCCACUAAGCAGAAUAUCAUAAAACUGGAAAAAAGAAAGGAUAAGAAAAGCUGGUUGAAGAAGCAGAAAAAACGCACAGAAAAGACUUGAGUCUUAAAGGAGGAGUGGCUUAUGUAAUCAUCGCAUCAGUAGCUCCCUCUACUAAAAAAAUAUAACAAACAUGUACAGGGAGUAUGCAAUCUGGAAUAGAUGGG